rnacentral:rRNA from 1 species
UACGAAGGGGGCUAGCGUUGCUCGGAAUCACUGGGCGUAAAGCGCACGUAGGCGGAUUGCUAAGUCAGGGGUGAAAUCCUGGAGCUCAACUCCAGAACUGCCUUUGAUACUGGCGACCUUGAGUCCGGGAGAGGUGAGUGGAACUGCGAGUGUAGAGGUGAAAUUCGUAGAUAUUCGGAAGAACACCAGUGGCGAAGGCGGCCAACUGGUCCGGCACUGACGCUGAGGUGCGAAAGCGUGGGGAGCAAACAGG